GGGCCCGCACAAGCGGUGGAGCAUGUGGUUUAAUUCGAUGAUACGCGAGGAACCUUACCAGGUCUUAAAUGCAUAACGAACGAUUGGGAAACCAAUCUUUCUUCGGACGGAAUGCAAGGUGCUGCAUGGUUGUCGUCAGCUCGUGCCGUGAGGUGUCAGGUUAAGUCCUAUAACGAGCGCAACCCCUAUUCUUAGUUGCCAGCGGUUCGGCCGGGGACUCUAAGAAAACUGCCAGUGCAAGCUGUGAGGAAGGUGGGGAUGACGUCAAAUCAUCACGGCCCUUACGACCUGGGCCACACACGUGCUACAAUGGUAGGUACAAAGGGCAGCCACUUGGCGACAAGGAGCUAAUCUCUAAAACCUAUCUCAGUUCGGAUUGGAGUCUGAAACUCGACUCUAUG
rnacentral:rRNA from 1 species